rnacentral:rRNA from 1 species
CCUACGGGCGGCAGCAGUCGGGAAUAUUGCGCAAUGGAGGAAACUCUGACGCAGUAACGCCGCGUGCAGGAAGAAGGUUUUCGGAUUGUAAACUUCUUUAAACAGGGAAGAACAAAGACAGUACCUGUUUGAUAAGCUCCGGCCAACUACGUUCCAGCAGCCGGGGUAAUACGUAGGGUGCAAGCGUUAUCCGGAUUUAUUGGGUGUAAAGGGUGUGUAGACGGAGAAGCAAGUUAGUUGUGAAAUCCCUCGGCUUAACUGCGGAACUGCAACUAAAACUACUUCCCUUGAGUAAUGGAGAGGAAAUGGGAAUUCCUAGUGUAGCGGUGAAAUGCGUAGAUAUUAGGAGGAACACCAGUGGCGAAGGCGAAUUUCUGGACAGUAACUGACGUUGAGGCACGAAAGUGUGGGGAGCAAACAGGAUUAGAUACCCGUGUAGUC